rnacentral:rRNA from 1 species
UUGGAGGGCAAGUCUGGUGCCAGCAGCCGCGGUAAUUCCAGCUCCAAUAGCGUAUAUUAAAGUUGUUGUGGUUAAAAAGCUCGUAGUAGAAGCUCGGGCUCCGGCCGACCGGUCCGCCUCACCGCGUGCACUGGUUCGGCCGGGCCUUCACCUUCUGCGGAACCGCAUCUCCUUCACUGGGGGUGUCGGGGAAACAGGACGUUUGCUGUGAAAAAAUUAGAGUGCUCCAGGCAGGCCUAUGCUCGAAUAGAUUAGCAUGGAAUAAUGGAAUAGGACGUGUGGUCUUAUUUCGUUGGUUUCUAGGACCGCCGUAAUGAUUAAUAGGGACAGUCGGGGGCAUCAGUAUUCAAUCGUCAGAGGUGAAAUUCUUGGAUCGAUUGAAGACUAACUACUGCGAAAGCAUUUGCCAAGGAUGUUUUCAUUAAUCAGUGAACGAAAGUUAGGGGAUCGAAGACGAUCAGAUACCGUCGUAGUCUUAACCAUAAACUAUGCCGACUAGGGAUCGGACGGUGUUAUUUCUUGACCCGUUCGGCGCCUUACGGGAAAC